CGCCACAUCCAGGGGUGCUCCGAGACGGGGCUGAGAUGCGCAAGCGGCGCGAACCCUUCACAGCUGAUCCGGACAAUGCCGGCGGAGCGAGGGAAACCUAUGUUUAUU
rfam:Aquimixticola soesokkakensis strain CECT 8620 genome assembly, contig: 0002